UACGAAGGGGGCUAGCGUUGUUCGGAAUCACUGGGCGUAAAGGGCGUGCAGGUGGUCUGUUAAGUCUGGCGUGAAAGCUCUCGGCUAAACCGGGAGAGGUCGUUGGAUACUGGCGGACUAGAGGACGGUAGAGGCGUGUAGAAUUCCGGGUGUAGUGGUGAAAUGCGUAGAGAUCCGGAGGAACACCAGUGGCGAAGGCGACACGCUGGGCCGUACCUGACACUAAAACGCGACAGCAUGGGGAGCGAACGGG
rnacentral:rRNA from 1 species